rnacentral:lncRNA from 1 species
CUUGUGGUCCCGAGGCUCCAUGACGUGCUCGCCAUCCUCCUUUCCUGUUGAUAAACAGGCCGCUGCCUGCGGGCCCAGGACCAGGGUUUAGCAAGACUUCACUGAAGUGGGAGAGAAGAGCGAUGAUGCCAUCAACGGGCUUCCGGGGGACCCAGGCUCUGUGCUGACCACUUACGCAAAGACUUCCUUGUUUAACCCACACCACCCACGCGCUGGCUAAUUGGUGAGACACCAAAGAAAGCAGGAACGCACCUAUGAGUUAGAGUCCAGAGCGACCGGGUCCGUCUACUCUACCGCCGCACACCCCUCCCGCCCGCCUGGCUCGGUCCUGGGGGGACUCACGCGAAAAUCAAAGCCACCGACAACUUCACAACGACUAUGUGCACGCCCGGACACUCAAGAGGAGCGGAAAACUCACACAGAGCAAGGAAGCAACGUUUGUGACGAUUUUACUGGCCCUUCUGCCAUUUCUAGCUUUGCCCCUCCCCCCUCAACACAUCUUAUUCACAAUUUGCAUCGCACAUCAUUAUUUCCUGGGGAUCCAGAGGAAUGCUUUCCUUCUGAGAUCUUUUUCUUUCUUUCUUUCCUUUUUUAUUUUUUCUUUUUGGUUCAAUAUCCAAAGUUUAAAACAGAAGUCAGGAACCAGGAAGCAUAUGCGGACGUCCAGUGUCUGGUUUGUACGCCGUGGACGGUAAAUGUCAGUGACCUCCGGCUGCAAAUGCAGGUGUCCUCUCAGCAUCUGAACAGCGAAGGGAAAUGGAUUGUGCCAAAUAUCCGAGUAAUUGUGUAAGGCCCUCAGAGCUGGGUUUUGGCUUCAGCAAGAUUUCUAUACAAUUUACCACAUUCUUGAACCUCUUUAUAAAGGGGAAAAGAAGGAACCCAAUCCUGUGAUUGUUAAUUUUAAUUAGAGUAGAUAUGUACAUAUAAUACUGUCCAGGUCACCUGGAUUUUACAGUGAUAUAUAAACAAACAUUCUUCAUUCACG